rnacentral:rRNA from 1 species
CCCUAGUAUAAUUAAGAAUUUUUAUUAGUAUAUAAAUGAGAAUAAAUAUUUUUGGCGGUUGGUUAUUUUUAGAGGAGCUUGUUAAUUAAGAAGAAUUUACUCUUUAUAUUUUAAUUAUAAAAAGUUUAUUCAUCUCCGUUAUUAGAUAAUUAUCAGAUAAAUUUAAUAUUAUAUUUCAGGUCAAGAUGUAACAUUUAUUAUUUUUGAUUAGCUACAUUUAUAUAAGUGAUGGAUUUAUAAUUGUUAAAAUUAAGGAGAAAUUGAAUUUAAUUGUAAUAUUAAUCAGAAAAUUAAUAUGAAUUGUUAUAAUUAAUGUA